AGGGCCAAACUUCUUCUGAUUGGCCCGUCCGGCGGCGUCGCGACCAGCUACUUUGUGCAGACCUCUGACCACGGUAGGGCAGGCCCAGACUGAGAGUGGAGUUCAUGCUAAGAAUCAAACACUGUGCCAAGUACUUUAACAGUGUCUUAUUUAAUUCUAAGAACCCGGAAAAGGAAAUAUUUCUAUUUCUAUUUAAUACCCAAGAAACUUAGAGGUAGCAGAUGAAGAAUUGAAAUCUAACUCCGUGGGCUUCCAAAACAGCAUUUUGUUCCUCUACGACAUGCGACACUCUGGAGAAGAAGAUCCAAAAAAGUUAUUCGUUUUUCAGUGUCACCCUCCGUGGGACUCAAGAUGGAGCAGAUUACAAGAAUACCAAGAUGAUAGCUGUAGUUCCAGAGAAGCAGCACAAUAGGAGUUGAUGGCUUUUGGUGGCUGGAUGGAGUGAGGUUCCUCAGGCCCGGAAGAGUUUACCGCGAGUACUUCACUUCAAUGUCCGCCUCCUGGCGCUUCAAACUCCACCACAAGAUCAAAGAAAUCAAAUUUGAAAAACUAUUCAAACCCAAAAUACUUGAUUUGAGUUGAUAACAUUAUUAAAAUGUUUUCCACAAAUGUGCCUAGUGGAUGAGGGGUCUAGGAAUGAGAUGACCAUCUAGAUGUGUGAAUAGAGGGUGGAGAUAGGAGGGCAAGGUGAAUAUGUUCCUGCUGUGCUUUCUAUUCCUUUUUUAGCUGCAGGAACUUUAGUUUUAUAAGCUCACUCGGCCUCAUUGGCCUCCUUUGUAAAAUGGGCCUAGUAAUAAAAGUGGGUUGUUUGAAGAGAUAACAUAUGUAUACAUGUGCAGA